rnacentral:rRNA from 1 species
UACAGAGGGGGCCAGCGUUAUUCGGAAUCACUGGGCGUAAAGGGUGCGUAGGCGGGUUUUUAAGUCAGGGGUGAAAUCCUGGAGCUCAACUCCAGAACUGCCUUUGAUACUGAAGAUCUUGAGUCCGGGAGAGGUGAGUGGAACUGCGAGUGUAGAGGUGAAAUUCGUAGAUAUUCGCAAGAACACCAGUGGCGAAGGCGGCUCACUGGCCCGGUACUGACGCUGAGGCACGAAAGCGUGGGGAGCAAACAGG